UUCGGUGUAGACAAAUUGGUAAAGUCGCUAGGCUUUGACCCUAGAGCGUGGAAGGGGUCGACCCCUUCCACCGAAG
rnacentral:tRNA from 1 species